rnacentral:rRNA from 1 species
CUAGCGACUUCAGAGUUUGAUCCUGGCUCAGGACGAACGCUGGCGGCGUGCUUAACACAUGCAAGUCGAACGAAGCAUGGAUUGGUGCUUGCACCGAGCCAUGACUGAGUGGCGGACAGGUGAGUAACGCGUGAGGAACCUGCCUAUAUCAGGGGGACAACAGUUAGAAAUGACUGCUAAUACCGCAUAAGACCACGAGAUGGCAUCAUCUAGGGGUAAAAGAGUUAUGUAUCGGAUAUAGAUGGCCUCGCGUCCUAUUAGUUAGUUGGUGGGGUAACGGCCUACCAAGACCGCGAUAGGUAGCCGACCUGAGAGGGUGAUCGGCCACACUGGAACUGAGAAACGGACCAG